UGAUAAUGAUUAUUUUUUAAGGGGCCGCAGUAUUUUGACUGUGCAAAGGUAGCAUAAUCACUAGGUUUUUAAUUUGAGAAUCUUGUAUGAAUGAUUGGACAAGAGAAAUACUGUCUUUAUAUUAAAAAUUGAAUUUAACUUUUAAGUGAAAAGGCUUAAAUAUACUAGAGGGACGAUAAGACCCUAUAAAACUUUACAUUGAUGUUAAAUUUUAUAGAAUUUAAAAUUAUAAUAAUUAAAUUCAAUUUUUUUGUUAUGUUGGGGAGACAAAAGCUAUAAUUAUAUGUAACUGCUUUUAAAGAAAACAAUAAUAGGUGGGAAAAUUAAUAGAUCCUUUAUAAGGAUUAUAAGAUUAAGUUACUUUAGGGAUAACAGCGUUAUUUUUUUCGAGAGUUCAUAUCGAAAAAAAAGAUUGCGACCUCGAUGUUGAAUUAAAAUAUCUUUAUAAUGUAGGUGUUAUAGAAGAAGGUCUGUUCGACCUUUAAUUUUUUACAUGAUUUGAGUUCAGACCGGUGAGAGCCAGU
rnacentral:rRNA from 1 species